CGGACGCUGACGCCGCAUUCACGCGCGGUCAGCGUCCCGCAAUCUUGCGCAUGGUUUUUGUGUUUCAGGCGUCCGUUCUUUCGUGAACCCAUGAAAGACGAAGACAAUGNNNNNNNNNNNNUCGACUGGGGUGGACGUCCACUCAAACUCGAAACCGGCAAGAUCGCGCGUCAGGCCGACGGCGCCGUUGUCGCCACCUAUGGCGAGACCAUCGUGCUUGCCACCGUCGUCGCCGCCAAGACGCCGCGUGAAGGCGUCGACUUCCUGCCGCUCACCGUGGACUAUCAGGA
rnacentral:misc_RNA from 1 species